rnacentral:rRNA from 1 species
GAUGAACGCUAGCGGCAGGCCUAAUACAUGCAAGUCGAACGGUGUCUUCGGACAUAGUGGCGCACGGGUGCGUAACACGUAUGCAACCUACCUUACAUUGGGGGAUAGCCUUUCGAAAGGGAGAUUAAUACCGCAUAAGACAGUAGCUGGGCAUCCAGCAGCUGUUAAAGAUUUAUCGAUGUAAGCUGGGCAUGCGUCCAAUUAGCUAGUUGGUGAGGUAACGGCUCACCAAGGCAAUGAUUGGUAGGGGAACUGAGAGGUCAAUCCCCCACACUGGCACUGAGAUACGGGCCAGACUCCUACGGGAGGCAGCUGUAGGGAAUAUUGGGAAAUGGACGCAAGUCUGACCCAGCCAUGCCGCGUGCAGGAUGAAGGCGUUAUGCGUUGUAAACUGCUUUUAUACAGGAAGAAACGACUCUUGCGAGAGGCAUUGACGGUACUGUAUGAAUAAGCACCGGCUAACUCCGUGCCAGCCGCCGCAGUAAUAC